CAGUAGCCACGGUAAUGCGAAGGGGGCUAGCGUUGUUCGGAUUUACUGGGCGUAAAGGGCGCGUAGGCGGACUGAUAAGUCAGGGGUGAAAUCCCAAGGCUCAACCUUGGAACUGCCUUUGAUACUGUUUGUCUUGAGUUCGAGAGAGGUAAGUGGAACUGCGAGUGUAGAGGUGAAAUUCGUAGAUAUUCGCAAGAACACCAGUGGCGAAGGCGGCUUACUGGCUCGAAACUGACGCUGAGGCGCGAAAGCGUGGGGAGCAAACAGGAUUAGAUACCCCAGUAGUCCCUGUCUCUUAUAC
rnacentral:rRNA from 1 species